AGGGGGCUAGUCCAACAUAAGACCUCUGAUUUCGGCUAGAAAACCGCGUAUGUGGCAUCGCGGCCCCUU
rnacentral:tRNA from 1 species